rnacentral:rRNA from 1 species
AGGCUUUCGCCCACACUGCUGCCUCCCGUAGGAGUCUGGACCGUGUCUCAGUUCCAGUGUGACUGAUCAUCCUCUCAGACCAGUUACGGAUCGUCGCCUUGGUGAGCCAUUACCUCACCAACUAGCUAAUCCGACCUAGGCUCAUCCGAUAGCGCAAGGCCCGAAGGUCCCCUGCUUUCUCCCGUAGGACGUAUGCGGUAUUAGCGCCCGUUUCCGGACGUUAUCCCCCACUACCGGGCAGAUUCCUAGGCAUUACUCACCCGUCCGCCGCUGAAUCAUGGAGCAAGCUCCACUCAUCCGCUCGACUGCAUG